CCCUGGCUCAGAACGAACGCUGGCGGCAGGCUUAACACAUGCAAGUCGAGCGCCCCGCAAGGGGAGCGGCAGACGGGUGAGUAACGCGUGGGAAUCUACCCAACUCUACGGAAUAACUCAGGGAAACUUGUGCUAAUACCGUAUACGCCCUUCGGGGGAAAGAUUUAUCGGAGUUGGAUGAGCCCGCGUUGGAUUAGCUAGUUGGUGGGGUAAAGGCCUACCAAGGCGACGAUCCAUAGCUGGUCUGAGAGGAUGAUCAGCCACAUUGGGACUGAGACACGGCCCAAACUCCUACGGGAGGCAGCAGUGGGGAAUAUUGGACAAUGGGCGCAAGCCUGAUCCAGCCAUGCCGCGUGUGUGAUGAAGGCCUUAGGGUUGUAAAGCACUUUCACCGGAGAAGAUAAUGACGGUAUCCCGGAGAAGAAGCCCGGCUAA
rnacentral:rRNA from 1 species